rnacentral:ncRNA from 1 species
CACUUACCAGUAUUAGAGGCAUUGCCUGCCCAGUGAGUCACGACUUUAACGGCCGCGGUAUCCUGACCGUGCAAAGGUAGCAUAAUCACUUGUCUCUUAAUUGGGGACUAGUAUGAAUGGCACCACGAGGGUUCAACUGUCUCUUACUCCCAAUCAGUGAAAUUGACCUUCCCGUGCAGAGGCGGGGAUAAUUAUACAAGACGAGAAGACCCUGUGGAGCUUAAGUCGUAUAACUCAACAAAUACUAAUAUUUAACCUAUUGGAAUAACAUGUAUAAUCUAUGAGUUAUAGUCUUUGGUUGGGGUGACCUCGGAGCAUAAAAGAACCUCCGAAUGAAUAAAACCAAGAUUAACAAAUCUAAGUGUAAUAUUACCAGUAAUUGACCCAUAUUUUGAUCAACGGAACAAGUUACCCCAGGGAUAACAGCGCAAUCCUAUUUGAGAGCCCAUAUCGAAAACAGGGUUUACGACCUCGAUGUUGGAUCAGGACAUCCAAAUGGUGCAACCGCUAUUAAAGGUUCGUUUGUUCAACGAUUAAAGUCCUACGUGAUCUGAGUUCAGACCGGAGAAAUCCAGGUCGGUUCUAUCUGUAAAUUCAUUUCUCCCAGUACGAAAGGACAAGAGAAAUAGGGCCAAUAUCCAUAAUAAGCCCUAGAAUUAAUAUAUGAAUUUAUCUAAAUAUACUAAAUCAACCCAUAUACCCCCAAGAACAGGGCUAUUAAGAUGGCAGAGCCGG